UCUUCUAUCCAUGGGUCAGGAUAGGUCCUCAGUAAAAUGCUUUCUUUCCUCACCUGUCUUUCAGACUUCUUUAUUCUGUUAGUUUGUGCCUUUCUAGAACAAAGUGUAUCAAAUUCAAAAUGGAGAUAUCUUUAUGGACCAUGUUAUGCUGAAUGUUACCUAAGAUGAGUUAUGCUAGACAAAAAGAUAUAUCAGGUUCACAGUCAUUUCAACUGUAGUUAUUACUGAUACCAUUCUCAAAAUUAAAAAGCAUUCAAUGUUUAAGACUUAAAACUUUAGCAUGUGGAAGCAUUCAUAUAAAACAGAUUAGAAAAUACUAAAGUUUUUAUUCAAACUUUUUCUCUCAGAAAAAAAUUGGAUUUUCUAAUUUAUUUUUUUUUUGGUAGGAAGCAUUUGUUUUGUUCAAGAGCACUAUAUUCAUUCUUUCUCUCAUUGAUUUACAGAAGAGAUAAACAGAGUGAUACAUUUUUUCUGAGUUUGUGUCUUAACAUAGAGGGAUUACUUGUGCAAGUUUUAAAAGUUGCAAGUCUCCAAAUUAAAUGUAAAAAUCUAAAUUUUAUGUAGUAGUCUGUGAAGAGACAGUUUAAUGUUCAUAGUGUAAUGGACAGAACACUAAAAUUAUCCUAGGUUACAUAGGAAGAUUAAUUACUUGCAGCUUUUUAGUGCUGUUCUUGUUCUUGAAAACUAAGGGUUGCAACAGCCAUGUUGUGGGUCUCCUGAUGGAAGAUCUGUUGCUGAUUCAAGGUUUUAGGGUCCUAUGAUACAGCGCAGUUCAUGUGGUUUUUGUUGGUGUUGAUGAUUUCUGUCUGCAUAUAUAACUGACUGCUUUUGGUCUGGUCUCAAUGUCUCUUAAAAACUGCAAGCUUCCCAGUCUUCACUGUAUGUUCUGUUUAUAUAAUGAAGACUUAAAGAAAAGCAGCAACUGAUAUAGGCCAACUCUCCCUUUUUCCAAGGCAAGAUCUAUUUGGACAUCUAUACCUGAAAGGACAUCAAAGAGGAAG